rnacentral:lncRNA from 1 species
CCUAAAGUGGUUUCUAUUAGAAAACGUCCAAAUCAGGAAAAUUAAACUUGUGACGGUUCGACAAUCCACUGAAUUUGAGGGAACAAGAUUGUGAUCGGUGCUAUGGGAAUGAAUCAUCCAUAAGCAUCAAAGUUAGAACAUUCGAGUUCUAAGACAUGGUUUUUCAUGAAAAACGUCGGGUUUUCAUGGGUGUAUUCUUUUAUGAAAUCUUCAAGUUUCAAAGGCACUAAAUUUGAAACUACAGGUUCAAUUUAGUUUAUGAACGUUUAGUUCAUAAAGGAGAGGUUCCUGCAAGAAACUCAGAAUGCAAUAUACUAACUUAGUAUAGUGGAUUUGAGUUGUCUUCGGGAACUCAAGUGUGAGAGCUUCGUUACUACGAAAGUAUGUGACGGUUCAAAGAAGAGAAAUAAAUUAUUGAAUCGUUAAUGUCCAAAAGUGAUCUUCAAGUCAAUAAUUUUGGAUUCAUUAUCAGAUUAAUUGACUGCAGGUCACUUUUAAUUAAUUCAAUAGAUCGGGACCAUUCGGGGUCGAUCGUAGAAGCAAAAUAAUAUUAAAAUAAUAUUAUUGGAUCGAAAAUAGAGCCCUAAAAAUAAUUGCGCUUAAUGCCCGGGGUUAAGAGGCACGGGUUGGGUGCCUUAAGCAUAAAACGAGGCCCAAAUGUUCCUUUAGUGGUGGCUGCAGGCCAUGGGUGAGGAAUGGGAGACCCUAGCCGCAG